UACGGGGGGGAGCAAGCGUUGUUCGGAUUUACUGGGCGUAAAGGGCGCGUAGGCGGCCUGCUAAGUCGAACGUGAAAUCCCUGGGCUCAACCCAGGAACUGCGUCCGAUACUGGUUGGCUUGAAUCCGGGAGAGGGAUGUGGAAUUCCAGGUGUAGCGGUGAAAUGCGUAGAGUAUCUGGAGGAACACCGGUGGCGAAGGCGACAUCCUGGACCGGUAUUGACGCUGAGGCGCGAAAGCCAGGGGAGCAAAGCGGGAUUAGAUGA
rnacentral:rRNA from 1 species